AAUAAAGGGUUGUGUUAGACUGCUAUACCUUGAAAUAAUUUCUUAUAAGUCAUUAAUAACUGAAGUAAGCAUUAAUUGAACCUUUAAACAGUUAAACUUACAAUAAUUAUUUUGAAGAUCAUCUUGCCUUAAAAACUUCAAGAUCUUUGAGGGGAUAAUUCGCCAUCUUAGUAUUUAGAAGAAUUGGGUUUGUGUCUAUAUGAGGGAGAUCAGAUUAUAAUAGAAGGAUUUGGUAAAAUGAAGAGAAAGUUUUGAAUGGGCUAAACAGGAAUUCAAGGACUUCUUAUAAUACAUUCCAGAGCUCAGCAACUCUUUUUUUAUAUUGCCUGCUGUUUGGGAUUAUAUUCAUCAUUGCUGCCUUCAGUUACAGGGCAAAAUGCUGAAUGGCAGAAGGCUGAAGAAAUGCUAAAAGCUCCGUCCUAUUGAGAAGUUCAUCACAGGGAAGACUCCACUGAAGUAAUCAGAUGCCUUUCCUGCUGCCCUGAGUCUUUAACUGUCCAAAGGGAGUCCUGAACCCAAAGCUGUUUCAGCUGCAUGCAAUUGUUAGGAUCAUUCACUCAUACCUCUUCGUUUAGGAUAGAGAACAAUCAGGCAAAGAAGGGGGAGGACUAACCCAAGGUCAGAUAAUUAGCUAAGGGCAUCAGAACCCACAGUUCAGGGUUGUUAGUACCACAUCAAGCUCCCUUGCAAAUUAGCUUCAUAAAUUCUAAGCCCACAGGCUCAGGGCUCAUCUGAAAGAGAUGGACCAGAGAGGUGGAGAUGGAGAAAAAAGUCUCCUACCACACACUGGAACCACUUUUACAGAAGUGCCUGUUGUCUCCCCUGCACCCCUGCACCCCUGCACUCCCAACCCCAACAAUGCCAGGCAGCAAGCUGUUGCAGAAAGGAAGCAGACUGCUGCCCCUGCAGUGUUCAGGCCUCCUCCUGGCAGGGCUCCCUCUACCUGAAUCCAUCUCAGGGAAAUGGUCAUCGCUGACUAUGCUGCACAGAACCUGCAAAGUUAUGUUAAUAAUCUCUCUGGGCCUUAAACUGAAUAACCAAGAUUUUGCACAUGUACCAUUCACUUCCCACUUAAUAUGCACACUCAAUUUACACAGGAAGUAUGCCUAAGGCUCUUUCAAUGACUGUAUGUGACUACACGUAGGGUUUUUCUUUUAUAACAGAUUGGCAAAUGCCUGAGGUGGUAUGAGUGUGGUGUUGCUGGAAAACCUUAGUUGAAAUUCCUAGACUAUAUGAAAUCCUUUUUAAAUCUCCUUAUUCUGAAAACAUAUUUUUUUAAAAAAAUUAGACCACUUAUGGGAUUUAAAGUAAAAAGUACAAAUAUACUGUAUUUCGUGACUGUAAUCAAACUGGAGACAUUAUGCAAACAUAGAGCUCUUAUAUUUUCAUUCUUCUACUUUAGGUUGCAAUUGUCUAUCUCUGCAUUAUGUGCAAACCAAAAUGAGAACUGUGGGAAUAAACCACAUGGUUGUGUUCA